ACAAUGUAUAGCAUAGGUUA
rnacentral:snRNA from 1 species